UUUUUUUUUUUUUUCAUUUUUAAUGUUUCUUCCAAUUGGCUGUAUACCAAUUCCCAAUUACCAUGUAAAAAACAAGAAAAAACCCUCUAUCCUGUUAGUUACUUAGAGACCGUCGUAACCUGUUUUCUCAAAUCCAGCCCAAAAUCCUCAAUCCCCUUGUUUAUUGUAGCUGAUUUUGAAGACAUCAUCCUUAUCACAGCUUUUGUUACAUCAGUACUCGUCAAAUUAAAUAGAGCGCAAACUCAAGAACAGAACAAGUAUCUGCAUUACUUUAUUAAAGUAUUUUAAUCAGAAAAGUUCAGCCAUUCCAUGCAUGUGAAACCAUCAAAAUAUUCUCUAGUUAGCACUUCAAGAGAGCCAGCAUCCACUAUGAUUUCCACUGCUACGUGAAACUUCCCACCAUCCCCAGGAUUUCAAAACAUUGUCCUACUUUUUCACCAACUACGAUAAUAACACAUUUUUUAGGAGGAAAAAAAAAAACUAUGUUUUCUAAAGGUUUCAUUCUAAGGUCUACAUUUGCAUGUUUAAUAUGAUUAAAGGGCAAAAACACACUACAUUACCCGCUUGAUAAAAUCCUG
rnacentral:misc_RNA from 1 species